rnacentral:rRNA from 1 species
GACAGAGGGUGCAAACGUUGUUCGGAAUUACUGGGCGUAAAGCGCGUGUAGGCGGCUAAGUAAGUCGGGCGUGAAAUCCCACGGCUCAACCGUGGAAGUGCACUCGAAACUGCAUAGCUAGAGUCCUGGAGAGGAAGGUGGAAUGCUUGGUGUAGAGGUGAAAUUCGUAGAUAUCAAGCGGAACACCGGUGGCGAAGGCGGCCUUCUGGACAGUGACUGACGCUGAGGCAGUG